rnacentral:tRNA from 1 species
GGGAGUGUGGCUCAGUGGUAGAGCGCUUGCCUAGCAUGCAUGAGGCCCUGGGUUCAAUUCCUCAGUACCA